AGCUCCAAUAGUGUAUAUUAAAGUUGUUGUGAUUAAAACGCUCGUAGUUGAAGAGAAGAAAAAGACGAAGUAGGUGAUGGUGUCCUUCGGGAUAGCAUUUCUACGAUAAAAGUCUUUUAGAAGGGAUCACUUUCGAGUGAUAUUACUUUGAAAAAAAUAGAGUGUUUAAAGCAAAACAUUUUGUUAAUGAAUAAUGAAGCAUGGGACAAUGACGAGGAGAUCCGUAUGGAUUUCGAGAGAAGGAUUAAGAGGAAUAAUUGGGGUGAUUUAGAAAAAUACGGGAGAGGUGAAAAUCCAUGAUCGUAUUAAGAUAAACGAGAGCGAAAGCAUUUCACUCAAUUAUGUUCA
rnacentral:rRNA from 1 species